rnacentral:lncRNA from 1 species
AGUCUUUUUAAUAAGUUUUAAUAUCAUUUUAUUAGUUUAGUGUUUAAUUUAAAGUCAUUUUAAAUAAAUUGCAAUUUAUGGUUUAUUGAGUCAAUUAAGUGUUUUUCUCUAUUAAAAUAAUAUUUUGUGUAGUUUUUAUUUGCUUGGUUCAACUUAAUAGAUUUAUUGUUAAAUGUGGUAAAGACUUGACCAAGCUGGCCCAAUUAAAAGAANNNNNNNNNNNNNNNNNNNNNNNNNNNACAAAAAAACCAAGGAGGCGGAUGUGAGCAGAGAAGUAGCUGCGCAGGAGAUCACGCCCAAAAGGAGCAGGGCAUCACGCACACAUCAGGAACGGAAUUGGAGAACGGCAAUAGCGCAACAAGCAGGAGCAUCAUAUGUUAUCUGGUUUUAUUUUAUUCUCUAUGUUGCUAAUUGUCACAAUUAUGUCUAGCUAAAUUUCCAUGAUUGGUCCUUAGGGGAUUCUUAUUAUUAUUUAUCUUGAACUAUGUGAUUAUCAUAUGUUAUGAUUAAUGAAUUACGAAGUUAGUUUCUUCAAUUAUUUCUUGUGCUUAAUGCUUUACAUGACUUGAUCAACUGUGUGAUGAUUUCAAUUAUUUGUUUUACUAUGACGAUAGGAAUGAAUGAUCGAUCUAGGAAUGAUUGAUCAAUUAACUUUCACUUAAGAUAUUUCGGAUUGUUAAUUGAGAUUAAAAGAUUAAAGUUUGUAGACCUCAAUUAAUCAUAGAUUACCUAAGACAUU